GGCCAGACGACCGCGGGGCGGCCAUCCAGUCUUGGAGGGCUGCCAUGAGGAAAGUCCGGGCUCCACGGGCAGGAUGCUGGCUAACGGCCAGGCGGGGUGACCCGACGGAAAGUGCCGCAGAAAAGAAGACUCUCACCUGCGCGCAAGCGUAAAGAGAAAAGCUGAAACGGUAGUGUAAGAGACUACCAGCGCUCUGGCGACAGGGCGGCUUGGUAAACCCCAUCCGGAGCAAACGCAAAUAGGAGCGCUAUGGUGUAGCCCGCACUGCGCUCGGGUUGCGUGCUAGAGGAUGUCGGCAACGGCAUUCGUAGAUAAAUGGUCGUCCACGACAGAACCCGGCUUACAGGCCCGCUUU
rnacentral:RNase_P_RNA from 1 species